GAAGCGCGAUCUAUAUCAUGGACUCUUCGGAGAAAUCAAAAUAUCAAUACAAAAACCUUAUAGACAUUCUUAACAAAGCAUGGGCUCGCUUCCGUCGACAUCACGCAGGUGAAUUCAAGGAGGAACUUGAUUUCAAGCCUGAAUUCCAAGUCUGUGUUGAAUUUCCACAUCUCGUAACACUUCCUUGAAUACAACAAAUAUUUCAUAACUUCUUUUGCCAUAUACAUAGUGUUUGAGAUAGAAUCUGGGGAAUAAUUUAUGCGGAUACUACGUAUGUGAGUUCAUCCAUGACUUUGUAGGUCCCAAGCGUAUAGUCGACCACGAAUUCAGAGUACAUAUACAAAUUUCUUAACAAUAAAUUAGUUCUAAUUGUGCAAACCCAUUGAUCUACUAUAUAAUAAUAUUUGCUAAUGAUAUAGGUGAGAGACAUGAAGGAAGCACUCCUCGAGAUGGAAAAAAUCAGGGUAAUUCAAGAACACCUGGAUGGAUUUCUUCUGGACGAGGUAGUAAAUCCAGCGGGGGAGUUCCAUAAUGAUGGAUCAAAUCUGCAUCACCGUCAGGACUUGGGUUCAGAAUAGUUACUCCAAAAUGUUGAAAUUGGAAAGUUGAUACAAUGUAAUAUUAUUCAUAUAUGUAUAUGCACA
rnacentral:lncRNA from 1 species